AGUGAACGCUGGCGGUAGGCCUAACACAUGCAAGUCGAACGGCAGCACAGUAAGAGCUUGCUCUUACGGGUGGCGAGUGGCGGACGAGUGAGGAAUACAUCGGAAUCUACUUUUUCGUGGGGGAUAACGUAGGGAAACUUACGCUAAUACCGCAUACGACCUACGGGUGAAAGCAGGGGAUCUUCGGACCUUGCGCGAUUGAAUGAGCCGAUGUCGGAUUAGCUAGUUGGCGGGGUAAAGGCCCACCAAGGCGACGAUCCGUAGCUGGUCUGAGAGGAUGAUCGGCCACACCGGAACUGAGACACGGUCCAGACUCCUACGGGAGGCAGCAGUGGGGAAUAUUGGACAAUGGGCGCAAGCCUGAUCCAGCCAUACCGCGUGGGUGAAGAAGGCCUUCGGGUUGUAAAGCCCUUUUGUUGGGAAAGAAAAGCAGCAGGUUAAUACCCCGCUGUUCUGACGGUACCCAAAGAAUAAGCACCGGCUAACUUCGUG
rnacentral:rRNA from 1 species